GUCAGCAUUCCUCUGCCAGGCCUUGAAUAGAGACCCUGAUUCUUGCAGUAAUAGUGCAGAUUCCCUGUGGGAGUGCAAACCUAUCCUGUGCUCCUGGGUAGGUGGCUCCCUCAAGGUGGACAAUCAGUGUCUUUGUGAAGCCCGGCUGAUGCCACAGAGCAGCUCCAGCCUGCAGCCCCUCGGCAGCCGGAGCUGUGCACACGCUCUUCAGAUGGUUACUGGGGAGAGAAGAAUCCAGGAGACUCACAAACUUCACCAGGAUCAGUGCUGGAUUGUCACAGGAACACGUGUUGUCUCGCUGGAUUAAGGACAAACAGGACUUAAUGGUUUGGAUGACACCUCAGCAGCCGUGUGGGGUGACCUGACAACGAGGAGUCUCCAGCUGGCGAGAGGAACAGACAUGCCAGGGGAUUUGUCAUCGUAGCCACCGGACAUCUGAGGAGAGAAGUUCUGGAGGAAAGACAAACACAAACAAACACGAUCUCAAAGCAGCUGCUCGACAUCAUGUGACCAACCAGGAGAGGACUGCUGGUGGCCGUGUGACAUCAGCAAACAGGAAUUCCUGACUCCACGUCUCCUCCUGCUUCGCCCUCAGGCUGCAGGUUCCUCCUGUUUCUGAUCUCAGCAAAUAACAAACUGAUAAAUCAAACUGCUCGUCUGACGAACGCUGCAUCA